UAGUUUUAUUCUUGCUAGAUUACCUAUUCUUGAGGUAUUAAUAUAUGUAAGUUCUUGCGUGAUUGGGUUUAAUGUCUAGAUGAUUUUUGCUUUUUCUUUAUUCGCAUUAUCUAUUUUUAUAAAUUAAGGUUACUUAGAUUUAGUAUCCUUUCUUAGCAUUGGCCAAAUUUGUGCCAGCAGCCGCGGUUAUACAUGGGAUGCGUUUAGGUAUUUUUGGUCGGCAGUUUUAUUUUAAUUUGAGGAUUUACUUUUGCUGGUUUUGCGGUGGAAUUUUUAUCUUGGUUGUUUUCCUUUUAUUGGUUUUCAGGCUGUGAAAUCUUUGAUAUAAACUAGGAUUAGAUACCCUAUUAUUUUUGACGUUAAUUUUUUGGCCUGAGUAGUAAUAGUUAUGUUCUUGAAACUUAAAGAAUUUGGCGGUAUCCCAUUCUUUUCAGAGGAAUCUGUCCUGUUAUCGAUAAUCCGCGUUGGACCUUACUUGGUUUGUUUGUUUGUAUACCUCCGUUCUGGUGAGAAUCUUCUUAGAGUUUAAUUUUCUUUAAUUUUUAUUUUGGUUUUAUUUCAGGUCAAGGUGCAGCUUUUGACUAAGGUGGUGAUGGAUUACAUUUGUUUUUGAUAUUGGAUUAUUGGUUGUAAUUCUGGUAUUAAAUUGGAUUUGACUGUAAUUUGUUGAAGAUUGUACUAAUGAAUUUGGCUCUGGGAUAUGUACACAUCGCCCGUCGCUCUCGUUGUUUUUGAGGCGAGAUAAGUCGUAACAAAGUGGUCGUACCGGAAGGUGUGGCUGGAAUGGUUAUA
rnacentral:ncRNA from 1 species